rnacentral:rRNA from 1 species
UCCGUAGGUGAACCUGCGGAAGGAUCAUUAUAGAAUUGGUUGCUUGCAACCUUCACUAUAACAUACUGUUCAUGUUCCUGUUGCUUCCCUAACAUUAGGAGGCUUUCCCUUAUGGGCUUGUUUCUGUUAGGGAACUUUGUCAAACAUAUUGUGUAUUUAUUCUGAAUCUACCAUGAAAAUGGAUAUUAAAACUUUCAACAACGGAUCUCUAGGCUCUUGCAUCGAUGAAGAACGCAGCGAAAUGCGAUACGUAGUGUGAAUUGCAGACUCCAGUGAAUCAUCGAAUCUUUGAACGCAAAUUGCACUCUCUGGUAUUCCGGAGAGUAUGCCUAUUUGAGGGUCAUUUAAACGUAAAUUCUAAAUUUCUUAGAAAAAAUUGGGUCUUCCAGAUUUUAUGGUUACCUAAAAUGCAAGACAUGCUCAUCUUUUUUGGGUUACGUGAUACGUGUUAUUCGUGACUUUCCGAUAAAGAUGCAGGCGUGUUGGAAUUUUGUAAGAACGAAUUGAAUUUGUUCGCAAAUAGAAUCAAUUGAAUCUUGACCUCAAAUUAGGUAGGAGUACCCGCCGGAACUUAAGGCAUAUCAAUAAGGCGGGAGGGGAAGGUCGACUGGCCAAGGGCACACAGGGGGGGGAUA